rnacentral:pre_miRNA from 1 species
AUUGCCAGGAGUUUCAUCAUGUGCUACCUCGUUCCAUGAUGUGAUCACCUGGCACCGC